GCGCGCAUCCAGGCGGAUCUCCACCCAGUUGUUGAGCAGGGCAAAAAGCGGCGCCAGCGGGCAGGCGGCCACGAAGAUGGUGACGAACCCGAACUGCAGCACUGCCGGGCAGGAGUAGCUGCUGGUGGAGCUGCACUCUUAGGAAAUGCUGAUCCCUAGAAGCUGCAGGGGCAGAGUAGAGGUGGCUUACGGCACAAAGAUCUCCUGCACGUUGUUGAUGAUCUGUUUGCCCACCAUGAUGACCAGGAGCUCCUGUGCCAGCUCGAUGAGGCAGCCUCCAGCAGCACACUGCAGCAGCAACUUCAGGUUAGCCGGGGGAGGGACCAGGCACACACACGCCUGGCUUUCUCUAUGCCUCGAAGGUGGCUUCUCUACCCCCACCUCCCAUAGGACAUGCCUGGAGUACCUUGAAAAUUGCAGAGAUCCGCCCUCCCCACCUCACUUCAGUUUGUAUGGGAACAGCCACUGGGCAGCUGCAGUGUGUGCCCUAUCGUUCCUCAGCCCACGGUAGCCUCGGGCUCCAGGGAAGACCCAACAUGUGGCCAGUAAAGAAUCACCCCCCAGGGGUUGCUAGGAAUGCAUGCCGAGCCCGGGAAGUUCAGUCACACCGUGGGAUGUCAUCCUCACAGGGUCGGAAAACCCUGAGAACUCAGCCCGUGCUGAGGGCAGCACCUGGAUCUGGCCGUUCUUGAACCACAGAGUCUCCAGUAACUUCAACACAAGAGCAAGUGGUAACCCUUUUCUCACCUAAGCCAGUCUGAACUGGGCAACUCACUAAGAGUUGAGAGCUGUGUAAUCUGGCACAGCAGCCACAGUCAAGCUCCUGGGGUAGGGGCCCAGUUGCUCUGCGCUGCCCCUCCCCACACAAUUCCUUCCCCUUAACGUAAAGGUGGACAGCUUCCCUUGACGAGGUGAACCACCUUGCAGUAAGAUGAGCUAAUGGCCCGGGCCAUGGGAAGAUGCCUGUUCUCCCUCCUCUAAGAAGAGUAGGGUCUUUUUGGACCCAUUGCUCAGUAGUGGCCACGGAACCCCAUGUCCCCCAAGUCCAGCUCCACAGCCACGAGUGGACAGGCCCAGAUGUCCCCACCACACUGCCUAUACCUCUGGUUAACCCUGCUUGGCCCUCAGCUAACAAGGCCGCAAGUGGAGAGAGAAAUUCUUUGGAUGUCUGGACAACAUGGGGACCACUCCUUACUCCUUCUUGGUAUUUAUGUUUUGGUGUCUUGAAGCCCCUGUCACCUCCAGAGACAACCUACGUGUCUUCCUCUGCAAAGACCGCUGCUCAUCUGAGAAGCCAGACUCUCCUGAUUCCCAGAGUCCCCAGGUCCCAAAGACAAGCGGAGCCCACUAGUGCUAGAGGGAGAAGCCCAGGCAAUGAGUCUGUGGGGCACCGGCCGCAGUGUCCUCCCAGCCAGCAGGGACGGUGCUGGGGCUCACGAGGGAUGGGCGCCCUAAAGACUCAGAUGCCUCAGGGCGUGUAUUGGGUGACAGCAGAGAAGGGCUGGGACCCGUGGCGUGUGUGUUCUCUACACAGUGGCUGCGAAUCAGGACCUGGGCCUGAUAUGGUCAAAAGUCCUGGAGUCCUGGGAAGCAGCUGUAAGCCUGGCCUCUGGCUUGGACAUUAGUGGAAGGUGGGUACCAAGAAUGGCGUCAAAUUAAGGCCUGGGUGGGUACAGAGGGAGCGUCCGCUCCCUGGCUGGGCGUGUCCAGCACACUCACCUCUUCAUUCCGGACUCCAAACAAGGUGUGGUAGUUGCCUGGGUAUCCCACAAACCUAGUAGGAUCCAAGUUGUGAGCCUGUGAGGGACUAGAUACUGAGAGUCAUCUCUGUCCUCCCACCCCGAGGCCUGGCCCGGGGGAGCACAGGCUGGAUCUCUUGUGCCCUCUGAGCCCCUGCCAUCACUCUUGCCCAGUCCUUGGCCCUGGCUACCUAUCUCCACCUGCUCCAGAGGACAGGGUGAGCCACAGGGGAUGGAUACCUAUCUCCACCUGCUCCUGAGCACAGCGGACAGGGUGAGCCACAGGGGAUGGAUACCUAUCUCCACCUGCUCCUGAGCACAGCGGACAGGGUGAGCCACAGGGGAUGGAUACCUAUCUCCACCUGCUCCUGAGCACAGCGGACAGGGUGAGCCACAGGGGAGAGGUGGCCACUUACCUGCCCUUGAAGAAGGCAAUGUACACAGGUGAGGCGUAGAAGUUGACAAACUGAAAGACGAACACCUUGAGGGUGAAGGCAUCCUCGAAUGCCGUCUGUGUCCGGUGCAUCUCUGUGCAUGGGGGGCUUUCACUCAGUCCCCAGGGCACUGCCCCUGCCCAAGAGACCCCACCACCCAGGGUGGGGCGGAAGCCACAUUGCCCAGAUAUUUUAAAGAACUUCAUUAAAGGAGGGGGUCAACAUAUAGCAGUCCUAACUUUAUCUAAAUUUUCCUCAAACAUGUUGAUGAAGGCAGUGGUAAAUCUUGAUUGUCUACUGGAAUAGGUGAAAUGAGAUUGAUCUGUCCCUGAGGCUGUUUCCAGAGAGUAUUAGCUCAUGAGGACUCUAAUGCUAUCAAUGGAUCAAUAUUAUUAAUCAGACGGAUCAAUAAUAUGCUGAUACUGUUAUUGGGAAUUGGUGGAAGUUCGGGCCUGCAUGGAAAAGCAGGGUCUGUGUUCCACCUGAUCCUGUCCUGUAUCCCCCUCCUUGCUUCCUGGGUACCACACCCUCCCUGCUGUGAUGGGCUGCCACCUCUGAAACUGUGGUCAGGAAUACAUAAUUCCUACACGAA